rnacentral:lncRNA from 1 species
CAGUUGGAUAAAUGGGUCUGAAAUUCAGAGGAGAAGUCCAAGCUGGAGAAAUUUGAGAGCCAUCAGCAUUGUAGUGGACACUGUCAGGUACUCCACCCAGAUUCCUGUAAAUACUUUUUUUUUCUUUUGCUGAGGAAGACUAGCCCUGAGCUAACGUCUGUGCCAAUCUUCCUCCACUUUGUAUGUGGGACACCUCCACAACAUGACUGAUGAGUGGAGCAGGUCCACGCCUGGGAUCCAAACCCACCAAUCCAGGCUACCGAAGCAGUGCGUGGAACUUUAACCAUUCGGCCACAGGGCCGGCCCAUAAAUACCUUCUUUUGAGAGCCUCACUCACCACUUCUAUGCACUUAUGCUUCUGAUUUCCAGCACCUGCAUCUCUUCUCCAGAGAACUGUCCUGGGGCCACUGGAAAUGCUCUGCCCCCACCGACAGAGAACUAAAAACGCCUGGAAACGCACCUCCUCCAGGACCACCCUUGACCAAUGACUGACACGUGCAGGGUCGGGUGGAGAGGGGAAGCAGGACAGCCCAGCUCCCUUGUCUCAGGAAAACUCUGAGGCAUAACCGAAGCCCCACAGUUUCCCUACACCCAAGAUCGGGUUAAAACUACCCUCUACAAGAUGGCCUGAGAUUGUACUUCGCCUGGCUUUCUCCCUUCCCUGCUCUGUGUUUCCCUCUCCCUUACCAGUCCGGCCUGGGAGCACCUCCUUAGGAAGUCAUUAGCACGAAUCCUUGUCUCAGCGUCUGCUUCCGGGACCCCCCAACCUAAGACGAACACAUAGACGCUAUUUGAAGGCAUGAGUCUAGGCCGUUUUUUCUGAAUGUGGACUUUGUCCUUGUCUGAAGUUCUCCACCUGGAUGCCCUGUGCUCAUCUCUCAAGAUUCAGUUAAUGCCACUUGCUCUUUGAAGCUUUCGCUGACUGGAGGAAACCUUAGAUGCUCCCACCGCCCUGUGCCCUGUGCAUUCCUGGCUCAUGAUAGAGCUGUGCUUUAUGAAGACAACGCCAUCAGCAGAGUGUGUAAGAGGCGAAAGUGGGGAGAGACUGGAGGCAAAGAGGCCAGGUCACAGCCCUGUGUCAAAUGUCACCAGACAAUAUGAUUGUAACAAUGUCGCAGGCUUCAGGGAACUGUUUCAUAAGAAAUCUCCUAUGUGGAUCCCUGGUGACACCGCUGUGAUGUGAGAUGAAGCGGGUUCAAGAGCAGAAGAAAAGACAGUAUUAUGAAGAGAAGUUACAGUGUCAAGAAGCUGACUCUAGAAUGUGAGGUGGAAAAUCAGGGACUUCAGAGUCAACAGGGCUGGGUUUAAACAUCAGCUUUACUGCUUACGAACAUUUGACCUUAAAUAACUUACUUAACCUCUAUGAGCCUUAGUUUCUGAAUCUAUGGAACAAGGACUAUAAUACAUGCCUCAUGAGACUAUCGAAAGGAUUAAAUGAGAUGAUACACCUGUAACGCUAACUGAAGCCACAAUCCAUGUCGUCCAGUUCCAGAGGAGGGCCAGAGACAAGGAAACAUGGAAAUCUGUAGCCUCAACGUCAUGGAAAAGCAAUUCCAAUUUUAUUCAAGUUUCUCAGCAUUAAAAAGAAUUCAAU